AGGGAGGCAGAUACUUGGGCAGUCUUGAGCAGCGGUCUGUCCAUCACUAGUCCUCCCGACAGCAUCCUUGCUCUCUGAUGACCGUGGCGAAUUGAGUGAAAUCGCCCCGGACAGAUACGGGGCAGACACGU